rnacentral:rRNA from 1 species
UGGGGAAUAUUGGACAAUGGGCGCAAGCCUGAUCCAGCAAUGCCGCGUGAGUGAUGAAGGCCUUAGGGUUGUAAAGCUCUUUUACCCGGGAUGAUAAUGACAGUACCGGGAGAAUAAGCUCCGGCUAACUCCGUGCCAGCAGCCGCGGUAAUACGGAGGGAGCUAGCGUUGUUCGGAAUUACUGGGCGUAAAGCGCACGUAGGCGGCUUUGUAAGUUAGAGGUGAAAGCCUGGAGCUCAACUCCAGAAUUGCCUUUGAUACUGCAUGGCUUGAAUCCAGGAGAGGUGAGUGGAAUUCCGAGUGUAGAGGUGAAAUUCGUAGAUAUUCGGAAGAACACCAGUGGCGAAGGCGGCUCACUGGACUGGUAUUGACGCUGAGGUGCGAAAGCGUGGGGAGCAAACAGG